rnacentral:rRNA from 1 species
GGAUAAAGGUAGUAGGAAGGUGGCUCUCUCGGGAGUGUUAUAGCCCGUUGCGUAAUACCCUGGGACGGACUGAGGUUCGCGCUCUGCAAGGAUGCUGGCGUAAUGGUCAUCAACGA